rnacentral:rRNA from 1 species
GACGAACGCUGGCGGCGUGCCUAAUACAUGCAAGUUGAGCGCUGAAGGUUGGUACUUGUACCAACUGGAUGAGCAGCGAACGGGUGAGUAACGCGUGGGGAAUCUGCCUUUGAGCGGGGGACAACAUUUGGAAACGAAUGCUAAUACCGCAUAAAAACUUUAAACACAAGUUUUAAGUUUGAAAGAUGCAAUUGCAUCACUCAAAGAUGAUCCCGCGUUGUAUUAGCUAGUUGGUGAGGUAAAGGCUCACCAAGGCGAUGAUACAUAGCCGACCUGAGAGGGUGAUCGGCCACAUUGGGACUGAGACACGGCCCAAACUCCUACGGGAGGCAGCAGUAGGGAAUCUUCGGCAAUGGACGAAAGUCUGACCGAGCAACGCCGCGUGAGCGAAGAAGGUUGUCGGAUCGUAAAACUCUGUUGGUAGAGAAGAACGUUGGUGAGAGUGGAAAGCUCAUCAAGUGACGGUAACUACCCAGAAAGGGACGGCUAACUACGUG